UACAGAGGGUGCAAGCGUUGUUCGGAAUUACUGGGCGUAAAGCGCGUGUAGGCGGCGUCUUAGUCGGAUGUGAAAGCCCGCGGCUCAACCGCGGAAGUGCAUCCGAAACUACGAGCUUGAGUAUGGAAGAGGGUCUCGGAAUUCCCGGUGUAGAGGUGAAAUUCGUAGAUAUCGGGAGGAACACCAGUGGCGAAGGCGGAGACCUGGGCCAAUACUGACGCUGAGGUGCGAAAGCGUGGGGAGCAAACAGG
rnacentral:rRNA from 1 species